rnacentral:misc_RNA from 1 species
GAUGAAGAACGUAGCGAAAUGCGAUACGUAAUGUGAAUUGCAGAAUUCAGUGAAUCAUCGAAUCUUUGAACGCAUAUUGCGCUCUCUGGUAUUCCGGAGAGCAUGCUUGUUUGAGUAUCAGUAAACACCUCAACUUCCAUAUCUUUUUUGAAAUGGGAGUUGGACUUGAGUGAUCCCAACGCUUUUCCUCACCGAAAAGUGGCGGGUUACUUGAAAUGCAGGUGCAGCUGGACUUUUCUCUGAGCUAUAAGCAUAUCUAUUUAGUCUGCCUAAAAAACAGAUUAUUACCUUUGCUGCAGCUAACAUAAAGGAGAUUAGUUCUUGUGCUGACUGAUGCAGGAUUCACAAAGACAGGCUUCGGCCGACUUUGUAAACUCGAUCUCAAAUCAAGUAAGACUACCCGCUGAACUUAAGCUUAUCAAUAAGCGGAGGA